rnacentral:pre_miRNA from 1 species
GUCCCAAAAUUCUUGUCUUACAUUUGUUUAGAUACGGAUGUAUCUAACACUAAAAUGUAACUAGAUACAUCCGUAUUUAGACAAAUUUAAGACAAGAAUUUUGGGAC